rnacentral:rRNA from 1 species
AUGCAUGCAAUCCCUUCUUUCCAACUAACACGGAGCAAAGACACGCUCGUCCGCGCCCUCCCCAUCCUCAUCGGUGGCGCGUCACUCCUCGAUGUCCUCCUCAACCGUGUCGUUUCCGGCAUCGCCGCCGUCUCCGACGCCUCCAGUUCGCAGUCGAGGGCCAACAUACUCACCUUGGCGCUCUUUGUAACUGAUAUCCUGGCCGGCCUUGUUUGGCUGUCAAUCCGCCCGAAAACCAUUUCUUCGGUCGCUCCUCGAGGUGUCGAUUGUAAGCGAGUAGAUGAGGAUGUAUCAAGUUCUGCUCUUCGUGAACUACUUUGGACAUGGGAUUCCCCGAUGGUUGCAACUUGUUGCAAAUCAUUGGUUGUUGUGUAUGGAGGUAAUUGCAAACUUCAAAUUGGGGUUGCUGCUGCCUCUCCAGAAGAUGGUAAUGUUGUUGAUGUGGAUGCACAGAAGUUCAUGCAAGGUUCCCUUUACAAGAGUGCCAUGGAAUCCAAGAAACAAUCUUAUCUAGCAAAUCUUGCUUUGUAUCCUGGAAGGACUGAGCUACCAUUUCUGCCAAAUAACACACAGGCCCUAAUAUUGCAGCCAAUUGGUGAUAAAGGAAUUGCAGUUAUUGGUGGUGACACUACAAGGGCGUUCACUAAUCUUGAUCAGGCAUGGAUUGCUAUGAUUGCAGACAAGUUGGAUGCUACAUUGUCAAAGCCUUAA